rnacentral:tRNA from 1 species
GGGGAAUUAGCUCAACUGGGAGAGCAUCUGCCUUGCACGCAGAAGGUUAAGAGUUCGAGUCUCUUAUUCUCCACCA